rnacentral:rRNA from 1 species
UACGGGGGGGGCAAGCGUUGUUCGGAAUUACUGGGCGUAAAGGGCUCGUAGGCGGCCAACUAAGUCGGAUGUGAAAUCCCCAAGCUUAACUUGGGAACUGCAUCCGAUACUGGAUGGCUUGAGUCCGGGAGAGGGAUGCAGAAUUCCAGGUGUAGCGGUGAAAUGCGUAGAUAUCUGGAGGAAUACCGGUGGCGAAGGCGGCAUCCUGGACCGGUAUUGACGCUGAGGCGCGAAAGCCAGGGGAGCAAACGGG